rnacentral:rRNA from 1 species
UACGGGGGGGGCAAGCGUUGUUCGGAAUUACUGGGCGUAAAGGGUUUGUAGGUGGCCCGCUAAGUCACACGUGAAAUCCCUCAGCUUAACUGGGGAACUGCGUGUGAGACUGGCAGGCUCGAGGGCAGGAGAGGAACGCGGAAUUCCAGGUGUAGCGGUGAAAUGCGUAGAUAUCUGGAGGAACACCGGUGGCGAAGGCGGCGUUCUGGACUGUCUCUGACACUGAAGAACGAAAGCCAGGGGAGCAAACGGGAUUAGAUACCCCGGUAGUCCUGGCCCUAAACGAUGAAUGCUUGGUGUGACGGGUAUCGAUCCCUGUCGUGCCGCAGUUAACGCGUUAAGCAUUCCGCCUGGGGAGUACGGUCGCAAGGCUGAA